UAACCGUAGGUGAACCUGCGGUUGGAUCAUUACCAAAUCCAAAACCCCCCUGAUGGUAUGCACGUGACUAUCCUUAGUUGCGUUGCUGCCGUCUCCACACCUUUGUGAACAACCUUUUUGAUUUGGCGGGUGGAGAGUGAGAUUCUCUCUCCCCCGUCAUAUUCACUACAAAACUUACUACUACUCCAUCUGACGCUAACUCGUGACCGGGCACGCAAGUGCGCAGGCAUUAGAGCUUAACGAAAAAACAACUUUUGACAACGGAUCUCUUGGCUCUC
rnacentral:misc_RNA from 1 species